rnacentral:rRNA from 1 species
GACGGAGGGGGCUAGCGUUGUUCGGAAUUACUGGGCGUAAAGCGCGCGUAGGCGGCGCAUUAAGUCAGAGGUGAAAGCCCGGGGCUCAACCCCGGAAAUGCCUUUGAGACUGGUGUGCUUGAGUGCGGAAGAGGUGAGUGGAAUUCCCAGUGUAGAGGUGAAAUUCGUAGAUAUUGGGAAGAACACCAGUGGCGAAGGCG